rnacentral:rRNA from 1 species
UACGUAGGGGGCAAGCGUUGUCCGGAUUUAUUGGGAGUAAAGAGCGUGUAGGCGGCCAACCUGGUCCCCUGUGAAAACUCGAGGCUCAACCUCGAGAGGUCGGUGGAAACCGUCUGGCUAGAGUCCGGAAGAGGAGAGUGGAAUUCCCGGUGUAGCGGUGAAAUGCGCAGAUAUCGGGAAGAACCCCCGUGGCGAAGGCGGCUCUCUGGGACGGUACUGACGCUGAGACGCGAAAUCGUGGGGAGCGAACAGG